rnacentral:rRNA from 1 species
UAGGGAAUCUUCCACAAUGGACGAAAGUCUGAUGAGCAACGCCGCGUGAGUGAAGAAGGGUUUCGGCUCGUAAAGCUCUGUUGGUAGUGAAGAAAGAUAGAGGUAGUAACUGGCCUUUAUUUGACGGUAAUUACUUAGAAAGUCACGGCUAACUACGUG